AAUAAACCUCCUGUUGUAUGUUUUUUGCCACAAUAAAAAAUAUGUUCAUUUAUGUUUACACUUUUGGUGGCUAUAUUUCAGAUAACUUCCACAGAACAAGAAUCCAUUUAUGGAGUAGAUAUGGAGAGCACGAGGGAGUGAGAGCCUUAGGGACUUGGGAAGCUUGCCCUGCAUGGAAUAAAAGCGAUGGGAGACAAGUAACUAGGAAUCUUGGAGUCCUUCUUUCCACUGACACAGAGAAUAAGGUUUUCAUCGGUCAUGGAAGUCAAAAUUGGAGUUGGUCCCUUACUCCCUCUUUAAUUGCCUAUUCUUCACUGUUACAAUUGCCUCCAAUUGUACAAACAAUAAAAAUAACUAACAUUUAAAAAUUUUACUUUGUACCAGAUACCAUGCUACAUGUUUUACAUUUAGCUCUAACAAUAAUUCAUUGAGAUUGAUGCUAUUAUUAGUUUCAUUUGUAUUAGUAGUAAUGCUGGAAUUAUAGACUUUAAAUAAAUACGUUUCUGAGAACCA
rnacentral:lncRNA from 1 species